rnacentral:lncRNA from 1 species
GAUGGAGAAGAGUCAGCCUCGGAGUCAGCACUCUUGUAAUAAUGUUUCAUUUGAAUUUCUAUUUCAGAGAGUGAUUUGAUACAUUUCACCUUUCAAUUUCCAUAGUCCGUGGCUCCGUGUUACAACACACACGCUGUCACUGGCAGAACAUAAUGAUAAGUUGUCUGUUUUCAAUAAGAAAAUCAAAAAAUAUAUUCAAGAGCUGAAGUCCCACACUCCAAUAGAACAUGUUGAUUAUGCAGCACUGUCUGAAAUAGGAACUGAAUUGGCACAAAGGUGUGACAGAUGAAGUGUUGUAUUCUGAAAACAUUCGUAACGUUCUUAAAAUAGAGUCCAAAAUAGAAGUAGGUUGCCCUGUGCUCUUAGACAAGGAGCAGGCAUUAGUUAGAAAGGGUAUUCUCUGUAUCUGGAGACAGGAUGAUAAACUGCUCACUUUCUCCAGAAAGACAAGAAGGAGGCAGAACUAUUGCUUCCUGUUUUCAAAGCAUUUCCUAGUGACACAGAGAGUAGAGAAGAAAGGAGAAGAAGGAUACCGUCUGUUGAAAGAGAACAGGUUGCUCUCACUCGCUAAAUAGUUACGUUUUCUCAGUUUUGGUCUUGAGAUUGAUGAUGGUUCACAGAGUCAGUCUAAGCAGAAGUUGAUAUUUAUUGCAAUGUCAGUGGCAGAGAAGGCACAGUGGAUAGCUGAUAUUGCUCAGUGUAUUGAAAAUGAGAAACAGAAUAAAAUACUUCAAAGCCAAAGUCAAGGGGAAUCUGUUGAGCUCAAUUCAAAGUUUAUGCGAUACAGCACAUUUAGAAGCGGAAAAGAACAACUGGU